rnacentral:misc_RNA from 1 species
GAUGAAGAACGUAGCGAAAUGUGAUAAGUAAUGUGAAUUGCAGAAUUCAGUGAAUCAUCGAAUCUUUGAACGCACAUUGCGCCCGCCAGUAUUCUGGCGAGCAUGCCUGUUCGAGCGUCAUUUCAACCAUCAAGCCCCAGGCUUGUGUUGGAGCCCUGCGGCUGCCGCAGCCUCCCAAAACCAGUGGCGGGCUCGCUAUCACACCGAGUGCAGUAGUUUACUCUUCGCUCAGGGCGUGUGGCGGGUGCUAGCCGUGAAACCCCCAACUUCUCAAGGUUGACCUCGGAUCAGGUAGGAAUACCCGCUGAACUUAAGCAUAUCAAUAAGCGGAGGA